CGUCCCCUGCGGUGUUCGUUUAGACCAUAUAUUCCUUGAACCAAUGCUAAUUGGCAUCGGUUACUGACCAGAUAAACCGCUGUUGUGCGCACCCUUCGUCGGUUGUGCCUGAUGCGGAAGGAAGGUAACCACUCUGAACCCAGGUUCAGGAUGCCGGUCUGACGGCACUCGCGGGGGCUUU
rnacentral:other from 1 species